UAGCGGGAGGCUUAACACAUGCAAGUCGAGGGGCAACAUGGAGUAGCAAUAUUCUGAUGGCGACCGGCGCACGGGUGAGUAACGCGUAUGCAACCUACCCUGUACAGGGGGAUAGCCCGGAGAAAUUCGGAUUAAUACCCCAUAAAGAUAUUUUGAGGCAUCUUAGGAUAUUUAAAGUUUCGGCGGUACGGGAUGGGCAUGCGUAACAUUAGCUAGUUGGUAGGGUAACGGCCUACCAAGGCGACGAUGUUUAGGGGUCCUGAGAGGGUGAUCCCCCACACUGGUACUGAGACACGGACCAGACUCCUACGGGAGGCAGCAGUGAGGAAUAUUGGUCAAUGGACGGAAGUCUGAACCAGCCAUCCCGCGUGCAGGAAGAAGGCGCUAUGCGUUGUAAACUGCUUUUCCGAGGGAAGAAAACCCCCGACGUGUCGGGGCUUGUCGGUACCUUGGGAAUAAGCAUCGGCUAACUCCGUGCCAGCAGCCGCGGUAAUACGGAGGAUGCGAGCGUUAUCCGGAUUUAUUGGGUUUAAAGGGUGCGUAGGCGGACUGAUAAGUCAGUGGUGAAAACCUGCAGCUUAACUGUAGAACUGCCAUUGAUACUGUCAGACUUGAGUAUGGUCAAGGUAGGCGGAAUGUGUAAUGUAGCGGUGAAAUGCUUAGAUAUUACACAGAACACCGAUUGCGAAGGCAGCUUGCUGGGCCAUUACUGACGCUGAUGCACGAAAGCGUGGGGAGCGAACAGGAUUAGAUACCCUGGUAGUCCACGCCGUAAACGAUGAUCACUCGCUGUUGGCGAUACACAGUCAGCGGCUAAGCAAAAGCAUUAAGUGAUCCACCUGGGGAGUACGGGCGCAAGGCUG
rnacentral:rRNA from 1 species